rnacentral:rRNA from 1 species
UCCGUAGGGGUAACCUGCGGAGGGAUCAUUACACAACAAAAAUAUGAGGGUGUGGUUUGCUGGCAACAGCGUCCGCCCCAAGUAUUUUUCACCCAUGUCUUUUGCGCACUUUUUGUUUCCUGGGCGAGUUCGCUCGCCACCAGGACCCAACCAUAAACCUUUUUUUAUGCAGUUGCAAUCAGCGUCAGUAUAAUAAUUCAAUUUAUUAAAACUUUCAACAACGGAUCUCUUGGUUCUGGCAUCGAUGAAGAACGCAGCGAAAUGCGAUACGUAGUGUGAAUUGCAGAAUUCAGUGAAUCAUCGAAUCUUUGAACGCACAUUGCGCCCUUUGGUAUUCCAAAGGGCAUGCCUGUUCGAGCGUCAUUUGUACCCUCAAGCUUUGCUUGGUGUUGGGCGUCUUUUUGUCUCUCCCCUUGUUGGGGGAGACUCGCCUUAAAACGAUUGGCAGCCGACCUACUGGUUUUCGGAGCGCAGCACAAAUUUGCGCCUUCCAAUCCACGGGGCGGCAUCCAGCAAGCCUUUGUUUUCUAUAACAAAUCCACAUUUUGACCUCGGAUCAGGUAGGGAUACCCGCUGAACUUAAGCAUAUCAAUAA